ensembl:lncRNA
UUUGUUCCUCCAUCCCUCACAAGAUCUCCAUAGAUAACUGUUCAACUGGACUCAGCAGGAGCUGAAUUCCUGAAGGGAACACAGGUAGGUUCACAGGUAGGUGUAACAUUCUUUCUGUUUCCACUCAGGUUAUAUCUUUGUCUCUUUUUCUGCCGCUUGUAUGUCAACAGGGAGGUCAUUGACGAGAUGCAACAGAUUGCGAUGCAAGACUCGAUUUGCUGCCAUCCAUCUCUGAGGCCACCCUGUAGACUGGACUGUCAUUGAUCUGUUCUUUCACAACAUAGAUAGAGUUUUCCAAUAUGACCUUAACUUUCCACCCCUUUCACGCAAGUUUCAUACUAGCACUCGAUCUCCUGUUUGCAGCACUACUCCUUUUGUGUGUUGAUCAUAGUAUUUCUUACCACGAGCACUCGACUUUUUGCUGUUUUCUGAUGCUAUCCGGAGUUCGUAGAUGGGUGUUGCCAGUUUGGAGAAAUCUUGGACAUAUGAACGGUAGUAACUCAAAAAGCCCAUGACUCUCCUCACAUCUCCAACAGUGGCAGGUGCUUCAUUCUUCAGAGCGUACACUGUCUCCAGGUCCUUCGGAUCAAUGCACACACCCUCGGCUGAAACCAAACGACCAACAUAUCUCACUUCUCCUUUAAACAGGUCACAUUUUGUUGGCCUGAGUUUGACUCCAUGAUUCUGUAGGGCUCUCAGGACCUUUCUCAGCCCUUCAACAUGGUCCUCGAAUGUUCUAGCAUAGCACAGUAUAUCAUCCAAAUAUGGAAUACAACACUCAUCUCGAAGGGGAGCAAGCAUUUCCUCCAUACCGCAUUGAAAUGCAGCGGGUGCAUUUGUUAGUCUGAAGGGGAUUCACACCCACUCGUAAAGACCCCAGAGUGUGAUGAAUGCAGUCAAGUGGCGCGACCCCUCUGCAAUGAACCCCUGGUGGUACGCCUUCCCUUGGUCUAGGAUGGAGAACCAGCUGUACCCACCCAAAGUAUCUGUGAGAUCUUGGAUUCUCGGCAAAGGGUGUCGGUCUGGAACAGUGCGUUGAUUCAAGAGACGGUAAUCAAUACAGAGUCUGAGCAUCCCAUCUUUCUUCCGCACACAGACUACUGGUGCUGAGUAAGGAGAUUUGGACUGCAC